rnacentral:misc_RNA from 1 species
UGUGAAGCUCUUUAAUGGGUUGAGAAAUUCUCUAGUUUCUGAAGGUGAGUCAGAAUUAGAUCAUUGUAUCAAAGAAGUUAAUGAGUAUUACAAUAGUAGCUGGAAGAUAAAGUUCAAAAACCUUAUAAAGAAGAAUGUUUAUUCCUCGUGGAAGAUGCUCACAAUUAUUGCCACCAUCUUGCUCUUGCUGCUGAUGGCUCUACAGACUUUCUGCUCAAUCUACAGUUGCCCUGGAAUAUUUAAGACAAGCAAGAAACACUUGAGCUUGACUUCAAGCUUCUAGCUUUGCAUGUCUUUCAACAGGUCAUCAUAAUUUUCCAGACUAGAUGUUGCCUGGGAUUUGUUCUGUUCUUUCUAGCACUGCAUGUAUUCAUGUAAGUUUGAAGUACCAAUUGCAGAAGACAUGCCCGUCUGCUCAUGUAAAUGCU